AGAGUUUGAUCCUGGCUCAGGACGAACGCUGGCGGCGUGCCUAACACAUGCAAGUCGAACGGAGAGUUUAUUGAGGAGACUUCGGUCAACGAGAUAAAUUUCUUAGUGGCGGACGGGUGAGUAACGCGUGAGCAAUCUGCCUUUCAGAGGGGGAUAACAUUCUGAAAAGAAUGCUAAUACCGCAUAACGUAUUUUGGUGGCAUCAUCGAAAUACCAAAGGAGCAAUCCGCUGAAAGAUGAGCUCGCGUCUGAUUAGAUAGUUGGUGGGGUAACGGCCUACCAAGUCGACGAUCAGUAGCCGGACUGAGAGGUUGAACGGCCACAUUGGGACUGAGACACGGCCCAGACUCCUACGGGAGGCAGCAGUGGGGAAUAUUGCACAAUGGGCGCAAGCCUGAUGCAGCAACGCCGCGUGAGGGAAGACGGUCUUCGGAUUGUAAACCUCUGUCCUUGGUGACGAAACAAUGACGGUAGCCUUGGAGGAAGCCACGGCUAACUACGUGCCAGCAGCCGCGGU
rnacentral:rRNA from 1 species